GUAGGAGAGGUAGAAGAGUUGUUCGAGGAGAGUUGAGGGAGGAGAGGUAGGAGAGGAAAGGUAGCAGAGGAGAGGUAGGAGAGUUGAAGGAGGAGAGGUAGAAGAGUUGAGGGAGGAAAGGUAGGAGAGGAGAGGAAGGAGAUUUGAAGGAGGAGAGGUAGGAGAGUUGAGGGAGGAGAGGAAAUGGAGGAGAGGUAGAGGAGUUGAGGGAGAAGAGGUAGAAGUGUUGAGGCAUGAGAUGAGAGGCAGGAGAGUUGAGGGAGGAGAGGUAAGAGAGGAAAGGUAGGAAAGGCAUGAGAGGAGAGGCAGGAGAGGAGAGGUAGGAGAGUUGAGGGAGGAGAGUUGAGGCAUGAGAGGAGAGGUAGGAGAGGAGAGAUUGGAGAGGAGAGGUAGGAGGGUUGAGGGAGGAGAGGUAGGAGAGUUGAGGGAGGAGAGGUAGAAGAGGUAGGAGAAGAGAGGUAGGAGAGUUGAUGGAGGAGAGGGAGGAGAGUUGAGGGAGGAGAUGUAGGAAAGGCAUGAGAGGAGAGGUAGGAGAGUUGAGGGAGGAGAGUUAAGGCAUGAGAGGAGAGGUAGGAGAGGUAGGAGAGUUGAGGGAAGGAGAGGUAGGAGAGUUGAGGGAAGGAGAGGUAGGAGAGUUGAGGGAUGAGAGGUAGGAGAGGAAAGGUGGGAGAGGAGAGGGAGGAGAGGAGAGGUAGGAGAGUUGAGGGAGGAGAGGAGAUGCAGGGGAGGAGAGGUAGGAGAGGAGAGGUAGGAAAGCAGAGGAGAGGCAUGAGAGGAGAGGUAGGAGAGGCAUGAGAGGAGAGGUAGGAGAGUUGAGGGAGGAGAGGUAGGAGAGGAAAGGCAUGAGAGGAGAGGUAGGAGAGGCAUGAGAGGAGAGAUAGGAGAGUUGAAGGAGGAGAGGUAGGAGAGGAGAGGUAGGAGAGUUGAUAGAGGAGAGGCUUGAGAGGAGAGGGAGGAGAGGAGAGAGAGGAGAGGAGAGGGAGGAAAGGUAGGCGAGGAGAGGUAGAUGAGGAGAGGUUGGAGAGUUGAAAGAGGAGAGGUAGGAGUGUUAAGGGAGAAGAGUUGAGGGAGGAGAGGUAGGAGAGUUGAGGGAGGAGCGGUACCAGAGUUGAGGGAGGAGAAUUGAGGGAGGAGAGGGAUGAGAGGAGAGGUAGGAGAGGAGAGGUAGGAGAGUAGUGGGAGGAGAGGUAGGAGAGGAACGGUAGGAGAGGGAGAGGUAUGAAAGGAGAGGUAGGAGGGGUAGGAGAGUUGAGGGAGGAGAGGCAUGAGAGGAGAGGUAGAAGAGUUGAGGGAGGAGAGGAGAGGCAUGAGAUGAGAGGUAGGAGAGUUGAGAGGGGAGAGGUAGAAAAGGUAGGAGAGCUGAGGUAGGAGAGGUAGGAGAGUUGAGGGAGGAGAGGUAGGAGAGGAAAGGUAGGAGAGGAGAGGAGAGGAAGGAGAGUUGAAGGAGGAGAGGUAGGAGAGUUGAGGGAGGAGAGGUAGAGAGGUUGAGGGAGAAGAGGUAGGAGUGUUGAGGUAGGAGAGGAAAGGCAGGAGAGGAAGGAGAGGAGAGGUAGAAGAGGUAGGAGAGUUAAGGGAGGAGAGGUUGGAGAGUUGAGAGAGGAGAGUUGAGGGAGGAGAGGGAGGAGUGUUGAGGGAGGAGAGGGAGGAGAGUUGAGGGAGGAGAGGUAGGAGAGGAGAGGUGGGAGAGGAGAGGGAGGAGAGGAGAGGUAGGAGAGUUGAGGGAGGAGAGGAGAUGCAGGGGAGGAGAGGUAGGAGAGGAGAGGUAGGAAAGCAGAGGAGAGGCAUGAGAGGAGAGGUAGGAGAGGCAUGAGAGGAGAGGUAGGAGAGUUGAGGGAGGAGAGGUAGGAGAGGAAAGGCAUGAGAGGAGAGGUAGGAGAGGCAUGAGAGGAGAGAUAGGAGAGUUGAAGGAGGAGAGGUAGGAGAGGAGAGGUAGGAGAGUUGAUAGAGGAGAGGCUUGAGAGGAGAGGGAGGAGAGGAGAGAGAGGAGAGGGAGGAAAGGUAGGCGAGGAGAGGUAGAUGAGGAGAGGUUGGAGAGUUGAAAGAGGAGCGGUACCAGAGUUGAGGGAGGAGAAUUGAGGGAGGAGAGGAGAGGUAGGAGAGGAGAGGUAGGAGAGUAGUGGGAGGAGAGGUAGGAGAGGAACGGUAGGAGAGGGAGAGGUAUGAAAGGAGAGGUAGGAGGGGUAGGAGAGUUGAGGGAGGAGAGGCAUGAGAGGAGAGGUAGAAGAGUUGAGGGAGGAGAGGAGAGGCAUGAGAGGAGAGGUAGGAGAGUUGAGAGGGGAGAGGUAGGAAAGGUAGGAGAGCUGAGGUAGGAGAGGUAGGAGAGUUGAGGGAGGAGAGGUAGGAGCGGAAAGGUAGGAGAGGAGAGGAGAGGAAGGAGAGUUGAAGGAGGAGAGGUAGGGGAGUUGAGGGAGGAGAGGUAGAGAGGUUGAGGGAGAAGAGGUAGGAGUGUUGAGGUAGGAGAGGAAAGGCAGGAGAGGAAGGAGAGGAGAGGUAGAAGAGGUAGGAGAGUUAAGGGAGGAGAGGUUGGAGAGUUGAGAGAGGAGAGUUGAGGGAGGAGAGGGAGGAGUGUUGAGGGAGAGAGGGAGGAGAGUUGAGGGAGGAGAGGUAGGAGAGGAGAGGUGGGGGAGGAGAGGUGGGGGAGGAGUGUUAAGACAGGCAUGAGAGGAAAGGGAGGACUUGUGAGGGAGGAGAGGAAAGGGAGGAGAGGCAUGAGAGGAGAGAUAGGAGAGGUAGGAGAGUUGAGGGAGGAGAGGUAGGAAAGGAAAGGUAGGAGAGGAGAGGGAGGAGAGUUGAGGGAGGAGAGGGAGGAGAGUUGAGGGAGAAGAGGGAGGAGUAGAAAGGUAUGAGAGUUGAGGGAGGAGAGGUAGAAGAAUUGAGGAGAGGAGAGUUAGGGUCGGAGAGUUGGUGGAGGAGAGGUAAGAGAGGAGAGGUAGGAGAGUUGAGGGAGGAGAGGUAGGAGAAUUGAGGGAGGAGAGGUAGGAGAGUUGAGGGAGGAGUGGUAGGAGAGGAGAGGUAGGAGAGCUGAUGGGGGAGAGAUAGGGGAAUUGAGGGAGGAGAGUUGAGUGAGGAGAGGAGAGGUAGGAGAGGAGUGGGAGGAGAGUUGAGGGCGGAGAGGAAGGAGAGGUAGGAGAGUUGAGGGAGGAGAGUUGAUGGGGGAGAGAUAGGGGAAUUGAGGGAGGAGAGGAGAGGAAGGAGAGUUGAAGGAGGAGAGGUAGGAGAGCUGAGGGAGGAGAGGAGAGGGAGUAGAGGUAGGAGAGGAGAGGUAGAUGAGGAGAGGUAGGAGAGUUGAGAGAGGAGAGGUAGGAAAGUCAUGAGAGGAGAGGAAGGAGAGUUGAGGGAGGAGAGCUGAUGGAGGAGAGAUAAGGGAGUUGAGGGAGGAGAGGCAGGAGAAGAGAGGUAGGAGAGGAAUGAGAGGAGAGGUAGGAGAGUUGAGGGAGGAGAGGUAGGAGAGUUGAGUGAGGAGAGGUGAGGGAGGAGAGGUAGGAGAGGAAAGGUAGGAGAGGAGAGGUAGGAGAGUUGAUGGAGGAGAGGUAGAAGAGUUGAGGGAGGAAAGGUAGGAGAGGAGAGGAAGGAGAGUUGAAGGAGGAGGGGUAGGAGAGUUGAGGGAGGAGAGGAGAGGGAGGAGAGGUAGAGGAGUUGAGGGAGAAGAGGUAGGAGUGUUGAUGUAGGAGAGGAAAGGCAGGAGGGGAGAGGGAGGAGAGGUAGGAGAGUUGAGGCAGGAGAGUUGAGGUAGGAGGGCAUUAGAGGAGAGGAAGGAGAGUUGAGAUAGGAGAGGAGAGGUUGGAGAGGUAGGAGAGGAGAGGGAAGAGAGGUAGGGGAGUUGAGGGAGGAGAGGUAGGAACGUUGAGGGAGGAGGGGUAGGAGAGUUGAGGGAGGAGCGGUAGGAGAGGAGAGGUAGGAGAGUUGUGGGAGGAGAGGUAGGAACGUUGAGGGAGGAGGGGUAGGAGAGUUGAGGGAGGAGCGGUAGGAGAGGAGAGGUAGGAGAGUUGUGGGAGGAGAGGUAGGAGAGGAAAGGUAGGAGAGGAGAGGUAGGAGGGUUGAGGAAGGAGAGGUAGGGGUGAGGCAGGAGAGUUGAGGGAGGAGAGUUGAGGGAGGAGAGGUAGGAGAGUUGAGGGAGGAAAGGUAGGAGAGGAGAGGAAGGAGAGUUGAAGGCGGAGAGGUAGGAGAAUUGAGGGAGGAGAGGGAGGAGAGGUAGAGGAGUUGAGGGAGAAGAGGUAAGAGAGUUGAGGUAGGAGAGGAAAGGCAGGAGAGGAGAGGGAGGAGAGGUAGGAGAGUUGAGGUAGAAGAGGCAUGAGAGGAGAGGCAGGAAGGUUGAGGUACGAGAGGAGAGGUAGGAGACUUGCGGGAGGAGAGGCAUGAGAGGAGAGGUAGGAGAGGCAUGAGAGGAGAGGUAGGAGAGUUGAAGGAGGAGAGGUAGGAGAGGAGAGGGAAGAGAGGUAGGAGAGUUGAGCGAGGAGCGGAAGGAGAGUUGAGGGAGGAGAGGUAGGAGAGGGGAGGUAGGAGAGUUGAGGGAGGAGAGGUAGGAGAGUUGAGGGAGGAGCGGUACGAGAGUUGAGGGAGGAGAGUUGAGGGAGGAGAGGUAGGAGAGGAGAGGGAUGAGAGGUAGGAGAGGAGAGGUAGGAGAGUUGAGGGAGGAGUGGUAGGAGAGAAAAGGUAGGAGAGGAGAGGGAUGAGAGGAGAGGUAGGAGAGUUGAGGGAGGAGAAGAGAGGCAGGAGAGUUGAGGGAGGAGAGGUAGGAGAGGAACAGUAGGAGAGGGAGAGGAGAGGUAGGAAAGGAGAGGUAGGAGAGGCAUGAGAGGAGUGGUAGGAGAGUUCAGGGAGUAGAGGAGAGGCAUGAGAGGAGAGGUAGAAGAGCUGAGGUAGGAGAGGAGAGGCAUGAGAGGAGAGGUAGGAGAGUUGAGGUAGGAGGGUUGAGGGAGGAGAUGCAUGAGAGGAAAGGCAUGAGAGGAGAGGUAGGAGAGUAGAGGAAGGAGAGGAGAGGGAGGAGGGUUGAGGGAGGAGAGGAAAGGGAGGAGAGGAAAGAGACUAGAGUUGAGGGAGGAGAGGUAGGAGAGGAAAGGUAGGAGAGGAGAGGGAGGAGGGUUGAGGGAGGAGAGGGAGGAGAGGAAAGGUAGGAGAGUUGAGGGAGGAGAGGUAGGAGAGGCAUGAGAGGAGAGGUAGGAGAGUUGAAGGAGGAGAGGAAAGGGAGAAGAGUUGAGGGAGGAGAGGGAGAUGUAGGGUAGGAGGGUUGAGGGAGGUAAGGUGGGAGAGGAAUGAGAGGAGAGGUAGGAGAGUUGAGGGAGGAGAGGAGAGGCAUGAGAGGGGAGGUAGGAGAGGGGAGAGGAGAGGUAGGAGGGUUGAUGGAAGAGAGUUGAGGGAGGAGAUGCAUGAGAGGAAAGGCAUGAGCAGGUCUCUCAGGGCUCAUGUCAGCUGGUCUGUCUUGUU
rnacentral:lncRNA from 1 species